UACAGAGGUCUCGAGCGUUGUUCGGAUUCAUUGGGCGUAAAGGGUGCGUAGGUGGCACUGUAAGUCGGGUGUGAAAUCCUGGGGCUUAACCCCGGAACUGCAUUCGAUACUGCAGUGCUUGAGGACUGGAGAGGAGACUGGAAUUCAUGGUGUAGCAGUGAAAUGCGUAGAGAUCAUGAGGAAGACCAGUGGCGAAGGCGGGCUUCUGGCUAAUGACUGACGCUGAGGUGCGAAAGCUAGGGGAGCGAACGGG
rnacentral:rRNA from 1 species